GACGCCGCGUGAGGGAUGAAGGCCUUCGGGUUGUAAACCUCUUUCAGGAGGGACGAAGCGAAAGUGACGGUACCUCCAGAAGAAGCCCCGGCCAACUACGUGCCAGCAGCCGCGGUAAUACGUAGGGGGCGAGCGUUGUCCGGAUUCAUUGGGCGUAAAGAGCUCGUAGGCGGCUCAGUAAGUCGGCCGUGAAAGCCCGGAGCUCAACUCCGGGACGCCGGUCGAUACUGCUGUGGCUAGGGUCCGGUAGAGGAGAGUGGAAUUCCCGGUGUAGCGGUGAAAUGCGCAGAUAUCCGGAGGAACACCAGUGGCGAAAGCGGCCUUCUGGACCAUUCCUGACGCUCAGACGCGAAAGCUAGGGUAGCGAACGGGAUUAGAGACCCCGGUAGUCCUAGCUGUAAACGAUGUGAACUUGGCGUCGGUGGGAUUAAAUCCAUCGGUGUCGUAGCUAACGCGAUAAGUUCACCGCCUGAGGACUACGGCCGCAAGGUUAAAACUCAAAGGAAUUGACGGGGACCCGCACAAGCAGCGGAGCGUGUGGUUUAAUUCGUUGCUACACGAAGAACCUUACCUGGGUUUGACAUAUAGGUUGUAGGGAACUGAAAAGGGACCGACCCUUCGGGGAGCCUAUACAGGUGUUGCAUGGCUGUCGUCAGCUCGUGUCGUGAGAUGUUCGGUUAAGUCCGCUAACGAGCGCAACCCUCGCCGUAUGUUAUACGUGUCAUACGGGACUGCCGGUAAUAAGCCGGAGGAAGGUGGGGAUGAUGUCAAGUCAGCAUGACCUUUAUAUCCAGGGCUACACACACGCUACAAUGGUCUGUACAAUGGGUAGCCAAGCCGCGAGGCGGAGCCAAUCCUGAAAGCAGGCCUCAGUUCAGAUUGCAGUCUGCAACCCGACUGCAUGAAGCCGGAGUUGCUAGUAACCGCAGGUCAGCAAU
rnacentral:rRNA from 1 species